UACGUAGGAGGCAAGCGUUGUCCGGAAUUACUGGGCGUAAAGCGCGUGUAGGUGGUGGGACAAGUCUGCUGUGAAAGCGCCUGGCUUAACCGGGCGAGGUCGGCGGAAACUGUCCGACUCGAGGACGGUAGAGGGGGGUGGAAUUCCCGGUGUAGUGGUGAAAUGCGUAGAGAUCGGGAGGAACACCUGUGGCGAAGGCGGCGACCUGGUCCUUGACUGACGCUGAGGCGCGAAAGCGUGGGGAGCAAACAGG
rnacentral:rRNA from 1 species